rnacentral:lncRNA from 1 species
CCAGUCCUAAACAAGAAAAAAAGGAAGGAGAUAGAUAAAGAUAGAAAUCACAAUCUUGCCUUGUUGAUAGGGAAGAAAUCAACCAUAAUGGAAUAUUUCCUCUCGUCCUUAACCGGAGGCAGUUCAUGCGCGCGAUAAAGAUUCCUCACUUGUUUGAGGAUAUCCUUCCGCAGUUGGUCAAGUUGAUUUGCUCGAUUUAUCUCAGAUGGCGUGAGUGGGUCUUCCUGUACUCCUUCUAAAGGAUGAUAGUUAA